CUUCACUAGACCCCUGCAUGCGAUUCACAGUAUUUAGCAGAGGACUGGGGGACAUAUCUCAGGACCUAGAGGACAUAUUUAAUGUACAAGGAUUUCUGAAAAUGUCCUGUUUGAGAAGGGAGAUUGUGGGAGCACUGGUCCUAUAACCAGCCCCGCUUACAGGAAGCAUGGAAAACAAGAGGAAAUUAUUAUUAUUUUUUUUUUAUGAAGUGCACUUUACGGUAAAAAUGUAAUCUAUUCUAUAGGUCGUUACGAUUAAACUGAU